ensembl:lncRNA
CCAGGUCUGUCUGUCCAUCUCUCCUCUAGAGAACCAGGUCGGUCUGUCUGUCUGUCUGUCUGUCUCUCCUCUAGAGAACCAGGACUGAGACACUGUGCCUGUCCACACUGCCUGUCCCCACUGCCUGUCCGUCUCUCCUCUAGGGAACCAGGACUGAGGCACUGUGCCUGUCCCCACUGCCUGUCCCCACUGCCUGUCCGUCUCUCCUCUAGGGAACCAGGACUGAGGCACUGUGCCUGUCCCCACUGCCUGUCCACACUGCCUGUCCACACUGCCUGUCCACACUGCCUGUCCCCACUGCCUGUCCGUCUCUCCUCUAGGGAACCAGGACUGAGGCACUGUGCCUGUCCACACUGCCUGUCCACACUGCCUGUCCACACUGCCUGUCCCCACUGCCUGUCCACACUGCCUGUCCGUCUCUC